CAAAAUGUAGUUUAGUCAUAAACACUUUGCUUACACCAAAAAAACGUCUGUUAAAAUCAGACCAUUUUGA
rnacentral:tRNA from 1 species